AUAUCAAUAAGCGGAGGAAAAGAAACCAACAGGGAUUGCCUCAGUAACGGCGAGUGAAGCGGCAACAGCUCAAAUUUGAAAUCUGGCCUUUACGGGUCCGAGUUGUAAUUUGUAGAGGAUGUUUCGGGCACCGCUCCGGUUUAAAUUUCUUGGAACAGAAUGUCAAAGAGGGUGAGAGUCCCGUCUUGAACCGGUUGUAGGGUCCAUGUGAAACUCCUUCGACGAGUCGAGUUGUUUGGGAAUGCAGCUCAAAAUGGGUGGUAAAUUUCAUCUAAAGCUAAAUAUUGGCCAGAGACCGAUAGCGCACAAGUAGAGUGAUCGAAAGAUGAAAAGCACUUUGAAAAGAGAGUUAAACAGUAU
rnacentral:rRNA from 1 species